GAUGAACGCUGGCGGCAUGCCUAAUACAUGCAAGUCGAACGGACUAAAGAGAAAAGCUUGCUUUUUUGGAAGUCAGCGGCGAACGGGUGAGUAACACGUAAGGAAUCUACCGUUAAGUGGGGGACAACAUUCGGAAACGAGUGCUAAUACCCCAUAGGAAUCUUGAUCUCAUGAUCUUGAUUGGAAAGACGGCUCUGCUGUCGCUUAAUGAUGACCUUGCGGUGCAUUAGUUAGUUGGUGGGGUAACGGCCUACCAAGGCGACGAUCAGUAGCCGACCUGAGAGGGUGACCGGCCACAUUGGGACUGAGACACGGCCCAA
rnacentral:rRNA from 1 species